UGAGAAUACAGGGUUAAUUUUCUUUUGACGUGCCUUUCUUGUUUUUAUUUCCUUUAACAGAACCCCUUUGUUUCAUACAUUUGAUAAUUGUUUCAUUAUGUAGUGGCACACCAUCCUGUGAGACCGCAGGAAAGGCUCCAAAUGUCCCUUCUUGUGCACGCAGCUCAGACAACCUGGAGCUGUUUUAGUACGGGGUCUUCACCUGCAAUUGGAGUGACUUUUUUUUUUUCCCUCCCCCCAAUAAAUCCAGCAGAACUGGAGAGGAAAUUGCAAAGGUGAACUUUCUGCUUUGCGAGGAUGGGGACAAGCGGCGCGAUGUGCGCGGAGCACAGCCCGGUGCCACCUGGCGGCAGCAGAUGCAAUGCUGUCAUCUCUUGGCUCAUCAGAAAAUGAAGGAAGCAGACAGCAAGGGGACUGCUUGAAAUGAGCACAACAGAGCCAGCAAAUAACCCACCAUCAGAUGUGCCUGGCUUCCUGUCAGAAAGGCAAACAGCUGAUGAAGGUGGACGUGACAAGCAAGUAGAACUAUGGGAGAGAGAGUGGGCCAAUCCAGUAGCUUGGACUAACUCCCUGUCUACAUUAAAGGAUUAAAUCAGAGAGGCUGCAUGGACAGAGAAGUAAGUACUUCAUUAUUUUUAAACAAUCACAGGAUUUUUUUAAAUGCAAUUCCUACCAGGCAAAUCUUCGCUGCUUGUUUUGUUUGUUUGUUUUCCAGCAUAGUGCUAUCAUCUUCAGUUAGAGAUUGAGUAGGAAGGGAAUAAGAAUCUAUUUUGUGCAUGCAGGCUUGUUGUUUUUUAUCAGGAUUUGUGCCUUCCUCUUGUUCUUGGUGGUUUGCUGCUGUAAUUGUUUGGCUCUCUUUACCAGAACAGUUUGGUGGCUUUAGGUGUUCUAAACUCUCCUGGGCCUAUUGCAAUGGCCAAUGUUGGCAUUCCUAUGAAGAAACAUCUAGCUUUGGAUGCAAAGGAGAGUAAAUUUGUUGAGCAAGGAGAUGCCAUUGCUUAUAUCAAAAGAUUCCAGGAUGAGAGUUGAUGGCUUUAGGUUGUGCCAGGUGAGGUUCAAGUUGGAUAUGAAGAAAAAUUUCUUCUGUGAAGCAGGCUGCCCAGGGAGUGGAGGGAUCUCCAUCCCUGGAGGUGUUCCAGAACAGUGGAGAUGUAGACAUGAUUGGUGGGCUUGGUGAUCCUAGAGGUCUUUUCUAAUCUUAACGAUUCUAUGGAAAAUCAGACAGAUUAUGUUCAGAACUGAAAAACCAACAAGGCUAAUUUUGUACUCUUAACUUUAAAUCGGAUCCUAUGUUUUUCUGCUCUUUGAACAUGCAAUGUGUGAAUGUGGCCUAUUGUUCUCCUAAAAGAACUGUACUCAUCUCUGCGGGGCUUAUCAGCUGCAGCCAUCACUAAGUAAUAACACAGCUGUGCUGAGACCUAUAAAAAGGGCAAAUGACACGUAGGUAGAGAGGACAGUAAAGAUGUGGCUCGAGGCUCAGGUUUCAAGAGGCAGCCAAAUACAGUCAUUAAGUAAACCAGAGCCACCCUGUUAACAAAGUCUGCAGGCUCACAUUCACAGAACAUCUCAUAGAUUACAAAAGAAAUGUUUUUGCACUCCUCAAGGGACUGGCUUCUGAACACAUCUAUAAAUUGCCUAAUGAGAGAUGUAAGUGUAUUUUAAUACUUGUACACUGUGUCCCAGGGAAAACAUAAUCCCUAGCAUUGAGCACAAUGGUGACAGACGCGGGUACUUUGCUGUAGGGAUCUAUUAGAAAUGUCAGUCGUAUAAUUAAACUUCAAAAAUAUUUCUUAUUGGAAUAUCUAGAGAUAAGAAAGAUAUGAAUGUCAGACCUCUGAAGCCCAUUCCCAAGCUGACACAGAGGGCAAGCAGAGCAGCUGCCAUAAAGCAGCCCUAUGUCACGGCUUGGGGCUGUAUGUGCCUGUGACACACGUGGCAUUUCUCCUCAGUAACAGACAUCUUGUGAUUUCUAUGACUAUGAGGAUGGUUCUGAAAGAAUAAAAACACUGAGAACAGUAUGAUGCCUAACUGCCACCAAACUUGGAGGCACUGCAGUCUCUGAAAAGAGACCACAGGACUGGAGGAUGGAUCUCCACAUCUCUUCACAGCUGUGGCACUAUGAUGUGACAGUGG